rnacentral:misc_RNA from 1 species
GUAGGUGAACCUGCGGAAGGAUCAUUAUCACGUACUUUUCGUACAAACUAAAUCGUGCACCAAGUCGCUCUGGUUAACUGGAAGGUGUGAGUUCAUUGGCGUUUUCUUAUCCGGGUAGUUUUCCCGCAGUACUUCAGUUUUCCUUUGGGAAGCCUGGCGUUUCUGUGUUUUAAGGAUAAGCGCUUAUUUACUCUCAAGUGCACUUUAUUGUGCAUUUGGGCCUUCCUAACUACCUCUGUGACGUACCCAA